GCUCCUAAAGGAUAACAGCUCAUCCAUUGGUUUUAGGAACCAAAGACUCUUGGUGCAAAUCCAAGUAGCAGCU
rnacentral:tRNA from 2 species